UAAUUAGCUCAAACCCUAAACCCUAAUUGACUUAAACCAUAAACCCUAAGGGUUUGGCUAAUGUCCAAAAUGCCAUUAAAAAUUAAAUGGAAAUGACUAAAAUGCCCAUAAUGCAUUAUUGAGGGUUGCUUGUAUAUCUUGCAAUAUUUGGAGUUGGUGAACAAUUAUUGACCAGCCAUGUGACUGAUAUCAGCCCACCUUGACCGCCAUCUCAUUGCAUCAAUAAUUCAUAUAGAUUAAAGAGAGAGAAAAAGAGCACUUUCUUUUCGUUUUCUCCAAGUCAUUCUCUCUCCACCAUCUUCGAAAUUUAGAGUGAGAGAGUGAGAUGAGAUAAGUCAUUAUCAAGCCUUAGCUUAACAAGAUCAGACUCCAUAGAUCAGAAUCCAAGAUCAAAGCUCAAAGUGGUAAGAAGCCUAAAAUUUCGAAAUCCUUUGAUCUUAUGUUGAUUAAUGUUAGUUGUUGGUUAAAUAUGUGUUAUAAGGUGACAAUUAGAGAUCUGGGUUGUUGGAUCAUGGAUCCAUAACAUCUAGAUGCUCGAAUUUAAGGUUUUCUAAAAUCUAUAAAAAUGGGAAAAUAAGGCCUGACAGCCUAAUGUCAGGGCCUCUAGAUCUUAAUGUGUUUGAUGUUUUGGGUGUUUUAUGUUUUGGUUCUAUUCUAUGUCAUGUAGGAUUUGAUCUAAAACUGGGUACAGGGUCGGAUCAAGCCUAGAUCUCCUUAUAGGAUCGGUCAAAUACCGUUGACCGAGCACAAAACUUAGAAUCUGGAAAACCCAGAUUUUCCAGAAAUGGUCUGACAAGCUUUUGUAGUCGCUAGAUCUUGCUAUGUUCAAGUUGUUAUGUACUUUUGUUGGUUUUAUCUUGUAGACUGACAUGCAGGCUAUACAUCCAAACCAUUAGAUUAACCAGAUCUUCCAUAGACACAAAGUUAUAGCCAGUCAAACUACAGUUGACCACCAGCCGGAUGAACAAUCUGGAAAACCCAGAUUUGUUCAAGAACACGAUUUCUGUCAGACCUUUGACCGUCUAGAUCUCUUUUAAUUAUUGUUGUUAUACUGACUUGAUGAUAUAGUUAUGUACACUGACAUGAGGUUUAGAAGAUUAACCCAUUAUAUUACACAAAUCAAGUAUCGAACCCAAGAUAUAAGGAUUCAAAGCAACUAACUCUAACUGUUCUUCAUUUCUGGAAAACCUAGAAAUGAAGAACAGCUUCUGACAAUGAUUUCGGAAGCCCAGAUCUAACUGAUAAGUUGUUGAAUGAUCAUGAACUUAGUAUUUACUUGUAGUAUUAUACGUAUACUACAAUCAAAACACAAUAUACCAGCCCAGAAGCAACUCGAUCUAUUAAUGGUCAAAGUAGUAACCUCGCAACUGACUAUGAGUUUCUAGAAAAGCUCAAGAACAGCUCAAUAACACUAUUAGCGACGGAUAUGUCGCCUAUAACGCCUUUAGCGAC
rnacentral:lncRNA from 1 species